rnacentral:misc_RNA from 1 species
AAGUCGUAACAAGGUUUCCGUAGGUGAACCUGCGGAAGGAUCAUUACUGAGAUAUGGUUCAUUCGAGCCCGACCUCCAACCCUUUGUCUACCAAACCUCUGUUGCCUCGGCGGGCCGCCGCCCCCUUCACCGGGGUCGCCGUCGGCCUCGUGCUCUCGAGUGCCUGCCGCAGGACCUUUAUAAACUCUUUAUAACAAGUUUUCUGAGUGGAUAUUUAAUUGCUUCAAAAAAAACUUUCAACAACGGAUCUCUUGGUUCUG